rnacentral:rRNA from 1 species
GAUGAACGCUGGCGGCGUGCCUAAUACAUGCAAGUCGAGCGAAUGGAUUAAGAGCUUGCUCUUAUGAGGUUAGCGGCGGACGGGUGAGUAACACGUGGGUAACCUGCCCAUAAGACUGGGAUAACUCCGGGAAACCGGGGCUAAUACAGGAUAAUAUUUUGAACUGCAUGGUACACAAUUGAAAGGCGGCUUCGGCUGUCACUCAUGUAUGUACCCGCGUCGCAUUAGCUAGUUGGUGAGGUAACGGCGCACCAAGGCUACGAUGCGUAGCCGAUCUGAGAGGGUGAUCGGCCACACUGGGACUGAGACACGGCCCAGACUCCUACGGGAGGCAGCAGUAGGGAAUCUUCCGCAAUGGACGAAAGUCUGACGGAGCAACGCCGCGUGAGUGAUGAAGGCUUUCGGGUCGUAAAACUCUGUUGUUAGGGAAGAACAAGUGCUAGUUGAAUAAGCUGGCACCUUGACGGUACCUAACCAGAAAGCCACGGCUAACUACGUGCCAGCCGCCGCAGUAA